UGGGGGCCAUCGUGCCGCUCGUCACCCUCAUCCCCACCGCCAUGAUCAUCUACAUCGCCAUCAUCUUCUAUGCCUUCACGCGCCGCUCACACCACGGCUUGAGAUGAGCCAGCAUAAGUGAGCUAGGGUUUGGAUUUCUGCUCUGAAUAUUUGCUCCUUAUAAGGUAUUGGACUGAAUCUUAACCUAUCUGGUUUGAGUUGUAUAACAGAAGAGUAUUUGGGACUUCGAAGUCAAAUAGUCCAACUUUAACCUUCGUGUAUUUUGUUGGUUGUCAUAUACUAUUUGAGCUGUUAAUUGCUUAGUAAAUGUCUCUCUCUAGUCUACGAAAUAGAUCACUUGGUUUUGGAGAUUGCAGUGGACCACAGAUCAUCCAAAAUGGAGAGUAGAUUCUAAUAAAGGCUGCAGGUAUUGAUUCUAAUAAAUCAAUCAAGCACACUCAUCGUUGGAAAAACCUGGGAUCUUGUCAAAAGUUGACUUCACUGCCUAUUUUCAAUAUGCUUUUUAUGUGCAUUCAUCAAUGUGUUUCCAUGGGUACGUCGCACAACCUAUCAUUUCAUGUCCUCCUCACCUGCGCUUUUGUUUAAUGUUUUAGUUAGAUUCCCGACAUCUAAACCACACAAAAGGGUUUACGAAAGUUACCUUCUUUGUUUAGCAAUCUCUGAGCAUAAGCUCGGUCAUUGGCGUCAUCAUCAUCUUUGCUUGAAACCUCCCCAUCUUCCUAUUUUUUUGUCGGAAGUCUUCAUCGCCAAGUUCCACCCAAAUGUCGGUGCGACAUGCCAACCUGGUUUCCCCUUGCUCUGCCUGCUACCUCAACCAGGAUGUGGCAGGGUAACUUUGCUGUACCCAAAUCAACACCAGGAAACCUUUUUAUUCCCUUGGAAAGGAAUCAUAGAGUUAGGCAAAUCUGAUAGAUAGCCCCUGGAGACAACACUUGUGUUGUGCGAAGGAUUUACCCCAUGGUACUUGAGAGUCUGUA
rnacentral:lncRNA from 1 species